AGCAGUCGCCGCGGUAAUACGUAGGUCCCGAGCGUUGUCCGGAUUUAUUGGGCGUAAAGCGAGCGCAGGCGGUUAGAUAAGUCUGAAGUUAAAGGCUGUGGCUUAACCAUAGUACGCUUUGGAAACUGUUUAACUUGAGUGCAGAAGGGGAGAGUGGAAUUCCAUGUGUAGCGGUGAAAUGCGUAGAUAUAUGGAGGAACACCAGUGGCGAAGGCGGCUCACUGGCCCGUUGUUGACGCUGAGGUGCGAAAGCGUGGGGAGCAAACAGGAUUAGAUACCCCUGUAGUCCCUGUCUCUUAUACA
rnacentral:rRNA from 1 species